rnacentral:rRNA from 1 species
UACGAAGGGGGCUAGCGCUGCUCGGAAUUACUGGGCGUAAAGGGCGCGUAGGCGGCACUGUUAGUCAGGCGUGAAAUUCCUGGGCUCAACCUGGGGACUGCGCUUGAUACGGCAGAGCUAGAGGAUGGAAGAGGCUCGCGGAAUUCCCAGUGUAGAGGUGAAAUUCGUAGAUAUUGGGAAGAACACCGGUGGCGAAGGCGGCGAGCUGGUCCAUUACUGACGCUGAGGCGCGACAGCGUGGGGAGCAAACAGG